rnacentral:tRNA from 2 species
GGCCCAGUGGCCUAAUGAUACGGCAUCAGCCUCCGGAGCUGGAGAUUGUGGGUUCAAGUCCCACCUGGGUUG